GGAAUAAUAGUUCAAUUGGAAAACGUCAGAUUGCUAAUCUGAAGAUGUGAGUUCGAAUCUUACUUAUUCUC
rfam:Flavobacterium sp. 316 scaffold_5, whole genome shotgun sequence.